AUGGGCACGGAGGUGCUCCUGGCCGUUGACAACAAGGGCAAGCAGCCCCUUCACCCAAUGCCCGACGAGGUUGUGUUGCCGCCCACCGCCGAGGAAGACCCGAAGACGCCUGAGGGUGGCGACGACGAGGGCAUGGAGGAGCCCCCCAGGAACAAGCGCCGCAACUACGGCAACUACCAUCAGCAGGAUGGCCCAACUCACUUCUGCAAGGUCAUCCUUGCAUCGAAGCUUGAGUGCAUCCCCAUGCCCCUGGACUUCAUCAAGCACUUCGUCGCGGUGCCGACGGAGUUCAAGCUCAGGAACAACACCGGCUGCUCAAGGAAGGUGACGGUGAAGCUGAUGAACGGCAGGGUGACCCUGGAUCAGGGUUGGGCCACCUACGCAGCCGUUCAUCAGAUCAAGAUCAGCUAA
rnacentral:rRNA from 1 species